AGACAACAAGGUGAUUUUCAUCACCUCGUGGCUGAACUGAGGCUGGACAGCCAACGACAUCACCAAUAUUUUCGGAUGAGUGCAGAGCAGAUGGAUGAACUUCUGUCCCUCCUGGGCCCUGAACUGACCAGACAAUCCACAAAUUUCAGAGCUGCCAUAGAACCCAAGCAGAGACUGGCUGUUGCACUGAGAUACUUGGCUUCCGGGGACUCACUGGUCAGCCUAGCAUUCAGCUAUCGCCUAGGAUGCACUACUGUGAGAGACGCUGUCCAUUUGGUGUGUGCAGCCAUUGAAAAAA